rnacentral:rRNA from 1 species
AGAGUUUGAUCCUGGCUCAGGAUGAACGCUGGCGGCGCGCCUAACACAUGCAAGUCGAACGGCACCCACCUUCGGGUGGAAGCGAGUGGCGAACGGCUGAGUAACACGUGGAGAACCUGCCCCCUCCCCCGGGAUAGCCGCCCGAAAGGACGGGUAAUACCGGAUACCCCGGGGUGCCGCAUGGCGCCCCGGCUAAAGCCCCGACGGGAGGGGAUGGCUCCGCGGCCCAUCAGGUAGACGGCGGGGUGACGGCCCACCGUGCCGACAACGGGUAGCCGGGUUGAGAGACCGACCGGCCAGAUUGGGACUGAGACACGGCCCAGACUCCUACGGGAGGCAGCAGUGGGGAAUCUUGCGCAAUGGGGGGAACCCUGACGCAGCGACGCCGCGUGCGGGACGGAGGCCUUCGGAUCGUAAACCGCUUUCAGCAGGGAAGAGUCAAGACUGUACCUGCAGAAGAAGCCCCGGCUAACUACGUGCCAGCAGCCGCGGUAAUACGUAGGGGGCGAGCGUUAUCCGGAUUCAUUGGGCGUAAAGCGCGCGUAGGCGGCCCGGCAGGCCGGGGGUCGAAGCGGGGGGCUCAACCCCCCGAAGCCCCCGGAACCUCCGCGGCUUGGGUCCGGUAGGGGAGGGUGGAACACCCGGUGUAGCGGUGGAAUGCGCAGAUAUCGGGUGGAACACCGGUGGCGAAGGCGGCCCUCUGGGCCGAGACCGACGCUGAGGCGCGAAAGCUGGGGGAGCGAACAGGAUUAGAUACCCUGGUAGUCCCAGCCGUAAACGAUGGACGCUAGGUGUGGGGGGACGAUCCCCCCGUGCCGCAGCCAACGCAUUAAGCGUCCCGCCUGGGGAGUACGGCCGCAAGGCUAA